rnacentral:pre_miRNA from 1 species
UUUUAUGAUGAGCAAAGAAAAUGGUUUCUUGAGAUGAAAUCAAUUCCUGUUUGAAGAUGCUGUCAA